ensembl:lncRNA novel transcript
GGAAAACGAGGAUCCACAUGUGUAAAUAAACGGGAACUACAGCUCAAAGGCAGUCAUACACUUGUCAUUCUUGUUUCUUCCUCUCAUGACAUGGAAAGGCAGGUAGAAAGAUCUCUUGAAGGUUGCUCCGAAGCCCAUGGGAGUGAAUGUUCCGGUGGACUUGGGGCUCUGCUGACGGAGGCCAGGCCACAAGGGGACAACGCUGGCACCAGGCCCAGUCACCUCUGUACCACUCGUUAGUAGUCUGGUUGGUGGCCGCCAGAUACAGGACAAACAACAGCUCCUCUUGGGCAGCAGUGUGUGCCUGGCAUGACCAGUAGCUGCCGGACAUGGUUCUUCCAGGAGCCUGGAUCUGGC